rnacentral:rRNA from 1 species
AUAUCAAUAAGCGGAGGAAAAGAAACCAACAGGGAUUGCCCCAGUAACGGCGAGUGAAGCGGCAACAGCUCAAAUUUGAAAUCUGGCCCCUAGGGCCCGAGUUGUAAUUUGCAGAGGAUGCUUUUGGCGAGGUGCCUUCCGAGUUCCCUGGAACGGGACGCCAUAGAGGGUGAGAGCCCCGUCUGGUUGGAUGCCGAGCCUCUGUAAAGCUCCUUCGACGAGUCGAGUAGUUUGGGAAUGCUGCUCUAAAUGGGAGGUAUAUGUCUUCUAAAGCUAAAUACCGGCCAGAGACCGAUAGCGCACAAGUAGAGUGAUCGAAAGAUGAAAAGCACUUUGAAAAGAGGGUUAAAUAGUACGUGAAAUUGUUGAAAGGGAAGCACUUAUGACCAGACUUGGACCCGGUGAAUCAUCCAGCGUUCUCGCUGGUGCACUUUGCCGGGCUCAGGCCAGCAUCAGUUUGCCUCGGGGGAUAAAGGCUUUGGGAAUGUGGCUCCCUCGGGAGUGUUAUAGCCCAUUGCACAAUACCCUGGGGCGGACUGAGGUUCGCGCAUCUGCAAGGAUGCUGGCGUAAUGGUCAUCAGUGA